CAUCAAAGGGAGAAAUGAGACGUUUUCCUUCAAGAAGAAAACUACACCAAUCUUAGAGCAAUCCUGACAUGAACCAAGGAAAGGACCAACAGGAGGAACAGGAACAAGCAAUUGUGGACUGAGUCAGCUAAGAUGGUCACUGCUGCUCAAGGAGGUCAAGAUCGUCAACUCAAGUCACCUUUGUUGAUCAAGAAGGAUGAUCCUGGUGUUCCAAGCAUCGAGUGCACAAUCAACGGAUAUUUUUUUCAGAAGACACUCUACGACACCGGAUCUGACGUCAACAUGAUGGCCGCAGUCACUUAUCAGCUCCUGCAUGGAACCAUGCCCCUACAACCGAUAUACAUUCAGCUCUAGAUGGCAGAUCAGACAUUCCGUAAGGUUAUUGACAUGGGAGAAGACGAGUACAAUCCACCCGUCAUCCUUGGAAGACCGUUCCUCAGCACCGUUAAAGCAAUCAUCUACAUUGGAACCGGAGAAGUCCACAUGCACUUCCCCUCAGAGAAGGUACGCCACUGUUUACUAACCUUAACUACAUAGUUGAAAGACUCUAAGCAGGUCAGCACAAGAAGAAGACGACGCAACCGCAACCAGAGUAGGCAAAUUAUCAAGGACGGAUGGGUAGACUAUAAAGGAGAAGUUGUAAGGUCUGAAGACAUACAACUUGAACAGAACUGUCCUGAGGAGACCGUAGCACCGAGUCAGGUGUGUAGAGAGAAGAUAGUUAUACAUGAAGACCAGGCGCUGCCGGAACCACUGACUACGCCAUCCAGCGAAUCCUAGGACAACUGAGAAAAUAGAGAGUCCCGUUCGGAGGACUUAAAAACACUGAACGCCUUGCCAAGAGGUAAACUUGGUAGUUAUCUUUUUCCUUUCAAUUAUUUAAAAUAGUUUGCUUAGUUAAUCAGGUUCACAUCAUCUUUAAAAGAAAAUAAAAAUGUUAAAAAAUAGUAAGCCCCAUGUGAGUAUGCUCAUGGCAUAAAACCCAUAAGAAAAUUCACUGUGGUGGCAUAAAAAUAAAUAUAUGUAUUCCUGUCCUAUAAAAAUGAAAAUAUAAAAAUAAAUUUAUGAUCCUACUAAAGAGAGUAACAUUUAUUGAGGAGGCUCAACAUGAUAAAGGCUAGGUAUUUAUGCUAACACUUAACCAGUUCCACAAAGCUUUGUUUUCUAUUUGAGCUCCACAUAAUUCAAGGAUCAAAGAAGACUAGCAGACGGAUGACAUCCUAAUCGCUAUCAGGGUGCUGCUGACAUUCAAAUACACCUCCACCACUUGCUAGCUACAUUAAAAGAAACUACGUCAAAAUCCAGCUUGGGGGAGAGCACCCCCAUUUAUCCAGCUAAGUUUCUACUCACGUUUAUACUUUACUCAAAUAAUAAAAAGAUGCAUAAUCAUAAAAACUCAAAUAAAAAUUUUUGUGCUUAUAUAUAUAUAUCCUUGCUAUAGUUUGCUAAAUAAAUAAAUAAAUAAAGUUUGCUAUGAACCCUCGUGAUAAGCUAUCACAUGGAUAUGAUGAAUAGUUGCUCUGCCUAAUUUGCACAUUUGAAGUUCUCUCUCAAGUUUAGCUAUAGCUGUUAUAAUUUAAAACUUGCUCUAGAUCUAAACUUGUGGGAUGAAAACUUGAUCUGAUGUCUAAGUUGUUAACGGAUACGAUAUGGGAAGGUUGAGCUGCUGUUUAUCUGUUCCUAGAGAUACUAGAAUUUUGGAGAACUUUAUCUUUGAAAAUCUUUAAAAUGUUGCAUGAUGAGUUCCUGUAUGAUGAGAGUUUAAAUUCCUACCACAGCCAUAUAUACAUGCUUGCUAGACUUUGAGCCACACAUUUAUUUACUACUUAUGAGCAUUGAGUGUGGUCAAGCUGUGUAGACCCUUAGGAGCUUGUCAUGUGGUUAAAUCAAGAUUCACUUGCACGUUCACUCAUAUAUGUUACUUCUACUCCGGAAGUACCAUCCACAUAUAUCCACUCAUUUCCAUCUCCAGAACCACCUAAAAAUAUUCUACUCCUAAUCCGGGAGAGAAUAACCAAAAAUAUUUCUGUUUUUCCCCUAUGAAAUAAAUGCUCAAGUUAUCUUGUUACUACCACUUGCUAUAUUAUCUCAAGAGAUGAGUGCUCUAAAAAAAAUAUAUACGAGGAAAUAAAAAGGGGCAAGUGCCCGAAACCUCGAAAGAAAAGAAAAAAAAAGAGAGAGAGAAAAAAAAAGAGAGAAAAAAAAGUGAGACGAGAGGUAAAAAUGGACAAGUGUCCGACAGUAGAAUUAGGGGUACAAGAUACCCGUUUGAGAGAAAAAUAAAAUAUAGAGCAUCUCAUUCUCCCUGAAAGUUUCAAAAGAGCAAGAAAGGUAUGUAUCCCCUCAAAAGAGCAUAAGUAGAAUUAGACUUCCACCAUUGUUAUCACCAUCAUCACCAUACACCAUUCAUUCGCCACACAUGCACAUCUUGAUUUGACUUAUUGAUUUGUUUCUUUGGAUCCAUGGUUUGACUAUACAAUAAAUGUCUUGUAAGUAUGUAUUAGCUGUCUCCCACCUAUGAGCUCCAGAUAUCAAAAGCCUUAUUAGAGUAGGGUGAGAGAGAAGGCAAUGUCACUAUGCCUUAUACCAAAAAUACCACAUAAUUUGAGAGAAGGCAUAUACCAAUACUGCCUUGGUAAGGAUCCAGAAAUACCACAAAAGAGAGACUAGAGAGAGUCAUACAAGGAAUCUCUGAGUUUUAUUUGAAAAUCUGCAAAAACUCCAGAGCUAUAGUUGAUCAAGAACAUUAGACAUGGUGCUUGACUAGACCGUUCUAUCUUUUAACUGCUCAAGACACAAGUGACGGUUACAAGCCCCAUGGUGAAAGGUAAAUGAGUAAGUUUUAAGUCUUAACAGUUUACUCUAACCAGAGAUGAGAUCUUGUUUAAACGCAUGUGUAUCUUUAAGUUAUGAAACCACUGUAGAAACUCUUGAGUUCAUCUUUGCUCAGGGACGAGCAAAGGUUAAGCUUGGGGGAGCUUGUUGACGGUCCUUAAUGCUCACAAUUAACCAUCAACUAAUCAUGGAAAAGGAUCCAAAUGCAACCAACACCUAGACUUAAGGUUUUAUCUGACAGAAUUCCACAAGUUUUGGUGUUUGUCUAUUUCUGCAGGGGGUUAUCAGGAAAUACGGAAGAAAGGCCCACACGUCGGGUUGACAUAGAGAUAUUAACGUGCCGCGCAAUUUUACGUCAUCUAGAAGACUCCAGAAGCCACGGGAACGAACGGGAAGGCGAACGGGCCCGGGGGCAGGGCGCCCGCCCACCCCCCUUGGGCGCCCGCCCAGGAGUUGUAGUCAGACACGUCGAACUUUGCGGACAACGCUCCACCGACCUAAAGGAUCAAGGAAAACCACACGAUCAAUGUCGGUUUGAUCCGAUGGCCCAGAUUCACUUGAAGGGACUAUAAAACCAGACCCCUGGCCCCUGGAGAUCAUACCUCUUCUACAGAAUCAAAGCUAGGGUUUCAAUUCUUCAUCCAAGUAGAGAGGAUCCCUCUAGUUCUUCUAGUUCUACCUCUAGUUCAUCUAGAUCUAGUUCUAGUUCAUCUAGUUCUAGUUCCUCUAGUUCUAGUUCUAGUUAGUUCUAGUUGUAAUCUAGAAAAUAGGGAGAGAGAAGAGGAGAGCGGAGGAGGAGCCGGAUCUGUCGGAUCUUCCUCAACAUUGUACUUUUGCAGCAACUGGUUUGUUCUUCAUCGUUCUCCAGGUUCUUCAAUUCAUAAUCCUGAGUUCUUUAAUUACUUUUAUUUACAUUCAAGUUAUUUAUUGGAUUCCCGCUUGCAUCAAGUGCUCUAGUCUUUAUAACGCUAGAGUAGUAAUUAAUAGAUUAGACGUGGUGUUUAGUCUUGCAAUUACCUGGAAUUGCACCCAAUCCUGCGGAUUGUUGUGGUAGCCUUAGGGUAGUGACAGCCCUAACGGUCGACGUAUUCCACCACGUUCGGAUCGGUGUUUGUAGGACCGUAGUCAGACCUUCCUAGCCCCCUUCUCAUCUCUUUCUGUGGUUAGUGCUCUGAUGUCCCGACAUAGAUAAUCUUGAAGUAAUUCUUGAUUCUUAGAUCAACUAGAGAACUCUCAGGAAACUUCCUCUCUUCCCACCAAAAACAAUUAUAUAGUUAUCCUUGGCGAUUUUGGAUCUUAAUUAGUACACUCACGUUCCCUGUGGAAAAUCGAUACUCUGGAAUACUCCCGGGUGAAGGCUACAUCGGUAUCCGUGCGCUUGCGGAUUUUUCUGUUUGCGUUUAAAAUACCCAACACAUCUCUCUUGAGCCAUGUUAUUCUAUGCAAAAAUGUGUUUUAAAUUGCUUAAAUAGGCUUCCUAUGCUUAUGUUUGAGUGAACCAUGCUUGUGUUUGUGCUCAAUGCUUUGGUAAUUAGUUUAUCUAUGCUUAACUCAACCUUGGGAACAAUGUUCAUGUUGAUCACUUCUCCAAAAUAUGCCUCUAAGUCAUACUUGUGUAAAUAGACCCUAGAAACCUCUUUUGCUUAGGCUUUUAAAAAGUGUUUCAUAAAAUGUUUGCAUGUCAAAACUAACUACAGCAAAGUUGUAGCAAAUUUUAUAAGGAACAAAAGUUGUUUUAUGUCCAUCUCAUGAAAAUGAUCACAAAUAGCUCAAAAGUGACCCACAAGGCAGAUUUGGGGCUGUUUCCAACACUUAGAAAAUUUUCUAAGUCUUGGAACGAAACGGGUUUGCUCGAUUGAUUUGAAAACUCUAUAUCUCUCAAUCCCGGCUGAUCUGGCCUUUGCUCUAGUUGACAAAGUUGUAGAACUCGUUUGGAACUCCAACUUUGUCAACUGCAUCAUCUUCUAACUCGGUCUGGUUUGGGAGAUAAUCAUCGGUGAAGUUGCUCUGUCAGACUGUCAUCGUUUCUUCUGAAUCGACGCCGAGCUCGUCGACGUGGCCAACCGGCGGCAGAGCUCCGUCGACAUUUGGCGCCCGUACGCCGUUCUUGGCCCCGCCUGUCAGCUUCCGUCGCGUGCAUGACCUACACGGCGUCGCCCGCGCAGAGUGGACGCGUCCACUUCGCUCUUCCUCGCCUCCACUCACCAGAAAAGCUUCCGCAGCGAGCUCACCGUCGCGAGCUCACUCCGGCGAGCUCGUGUGCGCUCCUCGCUGCAUCCCAGUUCACCAAAUUCCAGCCACAGCUCCGCCGUGAACCGCUCUCCAAUCUCCACCCUCUAACUCGCCGAGAAACCCACCGGUGAGCCGACAUUUUCUUCUUCCCCCAAAUCGGGUCGCCGUGACCGUUUUCUCCGGCGAACUCAAUGCCGAGCCCUGUGAAGCCUCUCGUCGUCUCUGGUUAGGUCCUAGAGGUAGCUUAGGUUCUUAGCAAGCUUUUGCGCCACUUGGUGGACGCUCUACCAAGCUCUCCGUCGCCGGACACGGUGCGCAGCGCCGCCGUGCUUCCGCCGGAGAUGGGUGCUCUCGUGGCCAGCGUGUUCCACGAGGAUCCAAGCCAAGCCGCGUACCUAGGAAGCUCCGCCGUAGUUCGCUGGUGCUGUAGAAGGCCUUAGGUCGCGCUCUACCGGCCUGAGGGCUCCGGCGUAACGCCGAGCACCUCCGCCGAGCCGCCAUCGUCGACGGUGAGCCCCUUCCGGUGGCUCCGCCGUGGAGAAAAGGGGGUCAAUCGAGUCGCUAGGGUUUGGGGAUCACGAUGAUGCCCUUGGUUUGGCCGGAGACCUCGCCGUCGCGGAGAAAUCGCCGGCGAAAGUCGCCUCGGCCGUGAGGAAGAAGGACCUGACAGAUGGGGUCCACUGUCAGUGUCUCCUCUUUCCCUCCUUUUCUUUAUUUCAAAAUCCUGAUUUUUGACUUUCUUGCAAAAAUCAUAUCUCCUGUUUCUGAGAUCCAAAAAUUGUAAAACAAAUUUUGUGGUAUUCCUUGAGAUGGCUAGUUUUUAAUAAAAAUAUAAAAUGAACCAUGUUUUGUGGGAAAUUAUUUAUUAAGGAUUUAAUCCUGUUAUUCAUGGAUAAAUGCAUAUCUCUUGUUAUACUGCUUAGUUUGCUCUGAAAAGUUUAUGGUAGCCUCUGUAUGGUAUUAGAAUGCUUUGAUAAAUACUUCAUGAUUUUUGGAAUACUGCAGCUUUGAUAUGUAAUUUAUGAUUGAAAUAUGGCUUGUUUCUUGAUUAAAUCAUAUAAAAUAAUUGGUACUUAUGCUGGUACUCUACUUUGGUAGUAAACUGGUUUAUGGCAUUCCUAAUGUGUAAAUAAUCUGAAAUCUGUUGUUUGGCAUAAUAUAAGUCAUGUUUCUGAAUUUAUGAAAUAAACACCUAGGCACAUGUUAAAUACAUAUCUUUAAUUUGGUAUGUUCAAUUGCUCUGAAAUUUUUAUGGUGAUACUUUGAUGAUGUCCUUGUGCUGCUGUAAUUUGUAUAGAUUUUUCGGAGCACUUUGACUAGUAUCUUGUAAUUAUGCUCUUAUUUAGAAUUAAUUAAUAAAUGUCUUGCUAAGUAUAUGUUUGAGGGUUGUCAUCUGAUGUUCUGGUAAUCUUGUAAUAUGCUUGUGCUCAUAAGCUAUGUGAUUGGCAUUGUUUGUGUUUUGGUCAUGUCAUUAAAUAAUUAACUAUAGGGUUAAAUGCUGUUCUGGACAGCAAGGAAGCAAUUUAACUGUUGCUUAAUGAUAACUUGACUUUCUGUGAAACUUGUCUAAAUCAAAGUUGUUCUAAACUUAUUGAACUAGCUGUGGUUUAAAUUUGAGGUCAUUUGGCCAAGUAGUUUAAAAGUUAUAGCUGUUCCAAGUUGGGUUCCAGAAAUAGGUGUUCUCUGUUUUUCUGGGACAGAACAUGGAACCUUGUUUAAAUGACUGGUUUAAUAUAUGAAUCAUGCUGUGGUGUUUAAAGAUGAUUCGUAGACAAUUUCAUAAGCUUUCCAGAAUGUCUUUAUUUGUGAUUGUUGGAUUUGUCUAUGAUUAGUUAUGAUUUAUUUACUGAGUGUACUUGUUUUAUAUUGCUUGCUGUUUUAGUAUCAUGAUAGGUUUUGGGUUACGCUAACUUGUUUACUUGUGUGAGCUUGUAUAACUUUUGCUCCGUAAAUGUGUAUCCAGUGAGUUGCUUCUGUUAUUGAGCAUUCAUCGUUAGCAUGUGCAUCUUCUUAUUGUUCGAGCAUGCAAUAGGUGUAUCGGACGCGACAGCCUCUUUCGAGCUGCAAGUGAAUCCCGAAGGUCAGGAGGGCAGCCAAGAGGUGGAGGUCCAGCAAGCCGGACUCGAGGAGCCCGAAGAAGAAGUUGAGUGCCCGAAUCACGAGCCGGCAUCGUUUGUGAAAGGCAAGCCCCGGAGCAUUCUAAGUCACCCAUUACUUUCAAAAGUUUACUUACUAUGUUAUAUCUAUUGAUGCAUUAAGUUUAGGAGUUGUGGUGAAAACCUUUGCUGCACUUUAUUCCAUCCUUGUCCAGAUAAUUCAUCCUACACUGGUUGUAGAGUUAGGAUCGAGUAGCAGCUUAGCCAUGCUUAAAUCGGUAGAAGUCGGGUGAUAUCCUGUCACCUGCGCGAUAUAGGAUUAUGUCGGAUCACGAUGGUCUAUAUGUGCUAUCGUGAAUGGAACCUGUUUUAAUUGACUUAAGCCGGGCGGAGUUUUGCAAGUUGGUAGUAACUCCGUCUGUGGCAGCUAAGGACCGAUCGUUGUACGUCCUCUUGUCAUGUUGAACGCAUGCCUGACACUUAGUUGGCCGGAUAACUCGUUCCGACCGUGAAGCCGAGUAGUAUGACUCAGGCCGGAAGACCGGCAAGUAUAAAGUGCGCACUACCGGAGGAAGUGCGGUGUGUGGGGGACCAUUGGCGUAAGCCCAAAGGCAGGUGAGUUAAAAUUCUUGACCUCCCUGGCAGAGUGGUAGCCCUGGGAGUGCGGCGCUGAUCGGAGCCGCGAUUCCUGAGUUGUACCAAAGGUGACCCGUUGGCUCUCCGGCAGGGGAUGCUUGGGUGAGUGCUAGGAAUAACCCUCCAGCUGGAUAGGAAUCCGAUUCGAAUCGCCGUCUCUCCCGGUUAGUGAGAACUUGACAGAGCAGCGGCAAACGUAGCAUUCACUAAUGAACUUGGUUCAUGAUAAGGAUGAUAGCAAGAAGAACACAUGAUGAAUUUGAUAUGGUUAUUAUUGUUUGUAAUAAUCAAGUGAUGUGUUGUAGUACAGGUGCUAAUAUAGUGGUAGGCUGAUGAUAAAUAAAAAUGAUGCUCUCAAAAUAAUUUAGUUGUAAGUUAAGCUUUUGGCAAAAAGGUGAGUCAACCAGCUCCACUUGAUAUUUAGCCUUGCAUGAUCCUUAGUGUCUUUUAUGUUUUACUAGACGGGUAAGUCUAGCUGAGUACAUUCUCGUACUCAGGGUUUAUUCCCACCUGUUGCAGAUGACAUCUUCUAUGACGGAUUCUGCAAGACCUGUCUCCAUCCCGCUGGGGAUGAGGACUAACCGUUGGGCACGGUUCUCUAACAAUUUCGUACCUGUUGCUUUUGGAAGGAUGACGUAGACUCUGGCAGUAACUCAAACUUAUGAACUGAACUUCGAAAUGUGUGUGUAACUAUUUUGCUUCCGCUACUUUGGACAAGUGUUGUAAUAACUUAAUACUCCGAUGUGGUGCCGCUUCGACGGCAAUGAAUGACUUUGUAACAUUCGUUAUGUUUAUGUUGAACUAUUACGAUCUUGGUUUGUUGCGAGUUGGUUUGAAGUCCUUCGUGAUUUCAAUUGACUACCGGGAUUAUAUGGGCUCAAGUUUGGAAACUUGAUUGCUUGGCGAUCGUUUCUACACUUGAACUCUUAUAAUUUGGUCGGUUCUGUGACAGCUGGCAUCGGAGCAAGUUCAGCAUUAUAAAUGCAACGUUUGUGUAUUUAAAACAAAUGAGUUUUUAAAUAAAAUGGUGUAAAACAAAUAAUUAAGUUAUGCCAGUGGUCGAAUCCUCCUUGCCCACACAAGGACCCUAGGUGGCUAUUUAAGUACUGACUUGGGGGGUUUUAUUUAUGCAUCUCUGGCAGUACUCAGGUAUGGAUGUGUGAUGACCGCACUAUGCUACCCUGUGGUCUAAUGGUGGAGGUAGCCUUCAUAUGUGAAUUAGCCACAUAUGUCGCUAGAUUUAAAUUAUGCAACGUCGCACCUACGCCCUGGUAAGUGUGAGCUGUGAGAGCAUGAUCGUCCAAAUGGCGGUCUAGGGGAGUGUUCGCGGUGGUUUUCUGGAGUGGAUACAUGUCAAAACCAUGGAACCACGAAAGAAACUUAAUUGGGGAGCAUUUAAAUUCUCGGGUAGCUGUGGUGUCAUUGUUUGUGCAUGUUGGGCAUGUCCGAGCAAUGUGCACUUAGUUUACUGCUUUCUUGAGUGAUAUAUUGGGAAUUGUUGGGCUGAAAUAAAGUUUUCUGCAGGUACUCUAACAGCGCACAUGUAAAUCGAUAGUUAUCGUAUCGAGAGACGAAUGUAUGCCACCGUAUAUCCGUUAGAAUAUUAAUUUUCUAAGUUUGUGAGGACGUACGGUUCGUGCAUGCAUCAUGUCGCAUUCAUACAUACAUUCUGUCUACUCCUUCCCUUACAAUUUUGUCCCUUUUAAUUAAAUAAAUGUUGCUUAACUAAUCCUCUUUUACCCAUGGUAUUCCUAUUCCUUUCCACAUAUGGACGCACCCGCUUCACCCCGUCCCAGUGACACUUUCUUGCACGAGUUUGGUACUCCUACCCUGCUCUGGAGAGUGUUACGGACUGUUGGGUAUACUGAGCCACCUCAGUAAUCUUGGUGGGAGAUGGAGAGCACAGGAGGAAUUCAGUGGUUUGCUGUGCAGGGAGUUGUUCCUCCACAUGGGGACAAGCCGGCAUGGACAGGCUGGACUUGUAGCUCAGAUGGGCAGACUCCCUGGGAGGCAGCUCAGGUUGCAGCCCAGACUAUCCUGCUCGAUAUCUGUCAGAGGUUUGGAGAUGAGCUGACGGGAGGACCAGCGGCCUCCAUUCCUAGUGCUGACCCAGCAGCAGCGGAGUGGAAACAGGCUGACGGUUGUGCUUUGGUUCGAGGCAGAGGAGAGAGAGCUGAGAGUUCUAGUCCUGCUAUGAGUGCUAUGAUGGCUGUGCUCAAGCUGAUCAGUCAGCGAGAGGGCACCUAUGCACAGGUGAUGGUGGCUGUUCGCCGGGCCCAGGAGAUGCAGCGGAAGGCUGAAAAGCGUGCUCGCAAGUUUUGCAAGCAAGCUAGACUCCUGGAGCAAGCUCAGAAGGACCGCAAUGACUGGGAAGACAUUACGGAGUAUCGUAGGCAGCAGUGGGUGAAAGCCAUUAGGGAGAGAGAUCAUAAGCAGGAACAGAUGAGCCAAUUAGCUAGAGAGAGGGAGACCUUGCAGGAGCGCUUGGUGCAGCUCACUCGUGAGAGGGAUACUGCAGUCCGCGUGUCGGAGAACAGGCGCCAAGCAUGGGAGAUGCACCGAGUUCAGUCGCUUGAGCGGGAGAACUACCUGCAGGAUCAGAUUGAGGCUGGUCUUGUGGAGAUUCACCGUCUCAACAACUUGCUACACCCUAUUCCUCGCCCUAUACCCGUGUAUCCAGAGGUGGGACCUCAGGUGAUUGUGGCCGAUGAUGAUGGUAUGGAUGCCGAUGGACCAGCAGCGGCUGCACCACCUUUGCACGAGGACGUGGAGGACGAGGAGCUUGAGCCGGUUAGCGACGAGGAUGGAGAGGCAAUCUUUGACGCUGACUCAGACGACGAGCCUAGAGUUUAGGGAGUAGUGGGUAGUGUCUUGUGAGGAUCUUUUGUAGUUGGCAGCUAGUGGUGAUGCUUUUGUAACCAUGUUGUAAUCUGGAACCUUGACCUUGACUCAUGGCAUGUACUGUGAUGGCGUAAUAACUUUAUGGACCCGAUGUGCAGUCUUUUAUGAUCGUUAUGUUAUGCCGAUGUUUUCCGUUGUGGUGCAUAUUGCGGAUAUCUAUGGCAUGUGUUGGAUUGGUGAUGUUGUUUUGUGGAAUUGAAUUAUUGUGCCUUUUCUAUAAAGCUAUUCUCUCGAAUACUUUCAGGCAUAAAUAUAAGUUCUUCUGCAGCAAAUCUUGUCAUCAUCAAUGCUCACUGACUGUGUCUUUACAGAUGUCUCGUGGCACCCGAGGUGCGGAACAGCGUGCUAACAUGAAUCCACCACCUCCUCCCCCACCACCAAAUCCAGCUGAGCUGAUGCAAAUGAUGGUGGAAAAUCAGAGGAUGCUCACUGAGACCAUCAAUCGAAUGGCAAAUCAGGGUGGUCGUAAUGCACAUGAAGGGCCAGUUCCUAACCAGUACAGUAGCUUCAAGGACUUCAUGGAUACAAAGCCCCCACCCUUCAGAGAAGCUGAAGAACCCCUUCAGGCUGAAGAAUGGCUGAACAUGGUGGAACAAAAGUUCCGCUUGCUUCGGUUGACUGAAGGUCUGAAGGCAGAGUAUGCAGCUCACCAAUUGCAAGGACCGGCUGGUAUCUGGUGGAAUCAGUAUCGGGAAGCUCUUCCAGCCGACACCGUGCUUGAUUGGAAUCUUUUUCGUGAUGCUUUUAAAGGGCAUUUCAUUCCUCCUGGUGUUAUGGAGAUGAAGCAUACUGAGUUCAUGCAGUUAACUUAGGGCAACAGGACUUUGAAGGAGUAUUUACAUGCUUUCAAUCAUUUGUCUAGAUAUGCUCCUGAGUUUGUGAACACAGAGACGAAGAAGAUUGCUAGUUUCAAGUGGGGUUUGGGCCCCAAAUUGCUGAAGACUAUGGGCCGCACUAAGUGUGCAACUUUCAAUGAGUUUGUCAGUGAUGCUCUCACUCAAGAGAACUAUAACACUGUGUACACUGCGACCAAGACUUGCAAGAGGGCUUUUGAGGCUGGGGCUGGGUCAUCUCAGUCCAAGGCUCCAGUGGCAGCUAAGCCACCGUUCCGUGCUCCAACGCCGAAUCAAAGGUACCGCCCUCCAGUGAAGAAGAAUCAGGCCAAGACGGGUUUUCGCAAGGGAUACUCUAUUGCUCUUCCUAGGGGCAAUACGGGUCCCAACUAUGCCAAGACUCCACCUGCCAACCGUCCGUGCUGGAACUGCAAUCAGACCGGGCAUUGGCAGAGCAACUGUCCUUACCCGCCGAAGAAGGGCAACCAAGGGAACGUUCGUCAAGGGCGUGUUCACUACACCACUGUGGAAGCAAUCCCUGCUGGCGAAGUAGUCACGGCUGGUAAGUUUCUGGUAAAUCAACAUGAUGCACUCGUGCUUUUUGAUUCUGGAGCAUCGCAUUCCUUUGUGAGUUCUGAAUUUGUGUCUCAGCAUAGCAUCAAGGCCAUUACACUUGAUAAGGGCAGUUAUUGCAUUAGUGCUGCGGGAAAUGAUAUUUCCACCAAUCAAGUGGUUUUGGGGGCAACUCUGGAAAUGGGAGGCCGUCAGUUUCUUGCUGAUUUGGUUGUUCUACCCGGUAUGGGCAUAGAUGUAAUUCUGGGGAUGAAGUGGAUGAGUGGCAAUGGAGUUCUUAUUGACACGACCACUCGUGUAGUGAUGUUGAAAGACCCAAACACCAAGGAGGCAUUUCUGGUGCAACUUCCUCGGGAUAUUCAAAUCCGUAGCACUGUGAAUGCAGUUACAUCUAAGGCUAUUCAGGAUAUUCCGGUGGUGUGUGAGUUUCCGGAUGUAUUUCCCGAGGAUCUUCCCAGGCUUCCUCCGGAUCGGGAUGUGGAGUUCAAAAUUGAAUUGAUUCCAGGUACCGCUCCUAUCUCGAGAAGACCUUAUAGAAUGCCACCCAAUGAAUUAGCUGAGCUUAAGACCCAACUAAAUGAGUUGUUGAAGAAGGGUCUUAUUCGUCCUAGUUCUUCUCCUUGGGGUUGUGCAGCUAUCUUUGUGAAGAAGAAGGAUCAAUCGUUGCGCAUGUGUGUGGACUAUCGUCCCCUAAAUGCGGUGACUAUCAAGAACAAAUACCCUCUUCCUCGCAUUGAUAUCUUGUUUGAUCAGUUGUCUAAAGCUAAGGUAUUCUCCAAGAUUGAUUUGUGAUCUGGGUACCAUCAGAUCAAGAUCCGUCCUGAGGAUGUACCUAAGACAGCUUUCUCGACAAGGUACGGGUUGUAUGAGUACCUUGUCAUGUCCUUCGGUUUGACGAAUGCACCUGCUCACUUCAUGUAUCUCAUGAAUUCGGUGUUCAUUCCUGAAUUGGACAAGUUUGUGGUGGUCUUCAUUGAUGAUAUCUUGGUAUAUUCCUGCAAUGAAGGGGAGCAUGCAGAGCAUCUGCGUGUAGUGUUGACGCAUUUGCGCGAACAUCAGCUUUAUGCCAAGUUUAGCAAAUGCAAGUUUUGGCUAAAGAAAGUACCUUUCUUAGGCCAUGUCUUAUCUGAAGAAGGCAUAUCGGUGGAUCCAGCUAAGGUGCAAGAAGUGCUGGAUUGGAAAGUUCCAACUUCGGUACACGAGGUUCGGAGUUUUCUCGGUCUUGCUGGAUAUUACCGUCGAUUCAUUCCCGAAUUCUCAAAGAUAUCCAAGCCUAUGACUCGGCUACUUCAGAAAGAUUAGAAGUUUGUGUGGACGCCUGAAUGUGAAGAGGCAUUUCACAAGUUGAGGACAUUGCUGACAUCAGCUCCUGUCCUAGCUCAACCUGAUAUCGAGAAGCCCUUCGAUGUCUUUUGCGAUGCGUCAGGCAUCGGUUUAGGCUGUGUGUUGAUGCAGGAAGGUCGCGUUAUCGCGUAUGCCUCGCGCCAACUUUGAAAGCAUGAGGUCAAUUACCCUACUCAUGACUUAGAAUUGGCAGCAGUUGUUCAUGCCUUGAAAACCUAGAGGCAUUAUCUGCUGGGUAAUCUGUGUAAUAUCUACACCGAUCACAAGAGCCUCAAGUAUAUCUUCACUCAACCUGAACUGAACAUGCGGCAGCGAAGAUGGCUUGAGUUGAUUAAAGAUUAUAAUCUCCAAGUGCACUAUCAUCCGGGCAAGGCAAACGUAGUGGCGGAUGCCUUGAGUCGGAAAGCGCACUGUCACUCAAUCCAAGUGGAAGAUCCGUUGUUGUCACAUCUUAUGCAUCCACUUGUGCUCAACCAGAUUUCUCUGGAGAGUACCAUUCGCAAUCGAGUCAUCGAAUUGCAGCAGACAGAUGUAGGCAUCCACCAUAUAAAGAGGAAAAUGAAGGAAGAAGAAACCAAGCAUUUCCGGGUCGAUGAGGAUGGAAUCCUUUGGUUCAAGGAUCGACUUGUAGUCCCAAAAGACCGUGAACUGCGAAAUCAGAUCCUAUCUGAAGCUCAUUCCUCCAAAUUGUCUAUCCAUCCUGGUAGUAGCAAGAUGUAUCAGGAUUUAAAACCUUUGUUUUGGUGGACAAAGAUGAAAAAGGAGAUAGCUGCUUUUGUCACUCGUUGUGACAAUUGUUGUCGUGUGAAGGCUGUUCACAUGAAAGCUGGUUUGCUUCAACCCUUGUCAAUUCCUGGUUGGAAAUGGGAAGAAGUCAGCAUGGAUUUCAUCAGUGGACUCCCAACUUCUGUUAAGGGUUACGACUCCAUCUGGGUGAUUGUAGAUCGCUUGACCAAGGUUGCUCGAUUUAUUCCAGUUCGAACUGACUAUCGUUCACAUCAGUAUGCAGAGUUGUAUUUUGAGCACAUUGUUCGUCAGUAUGGUGUGCCUCGAACAAUCAUAUCAGAUCGUGGACCACAGUUCACUGCUCGUUUUUGGGAAUGUCUGCAUGAGCAAAUUGGUACUCAUUUAGUCCGUAGCUCUGCUUAUCAUCCCCAAACGGCUGGUCAAACUGAACGAGAUAACCAAAUCCUCGAAGACAUGUUGAGGGCAUGCGCUCUCUCUUCAAAAGGUUCUUGGGUUAAGUGGUUGCCAUUAGCUGAGUUCUCCUACAACAAUAGUUAUCAGGAGAGUAUCAAGAUGGCUCCAUUUGAAGCCUUGUACGGUCGAAAGUGUCGAACCCCGUUGAAUUGGGUAGAAGCUGGAGAGAGAAGGUUUUAUGGCAUCGAUUUCGUGAACGAAGCCGAGCAGAAAGUCCGUACUAUCCAGCAACAUCUGGAAGCUGCUCAAGCUCGUCAGAAAAGUUAUGCCGACAAGAGAAGGAAGCCGAUUGAGUUUUCGGUUGGUGACCAUGUGUACAUCAAGGUGUCUCCGAUGAAGGGUGUACAAAGGUUUGGAGUCAAGCGAAAGCUUGCACCUCGCUAUGUGGGACCUUAUCGGAUUCUCGAAAAGAAAGGGAAUGUGGCAUACAAAGUUCAACUCCCAGUUGCGCUUCGAGCUAUUUUCCCUGUCUUCCACGUAUCACAGUUGAAGAAGUGCCUUCGUGUACCGGAGGAGCGAGUGGAAGUUCGAGAUAUCAAGUUGAAGUCAGAUCUGGUGUAUGAGGAGAGACCUGUGGCGAUUCUUGAUCGCAAGGAACGGGAGACGCGUAAUCGUAUGGUUAAGCUCUACAAGGUGUUGUGGAGCAACCACGGGGAAGAAGAUGCCACUUGGGAGACGGAGGAUUAUUUAAAAGAAGUUUACAAAACCUUCUUCGAAAAUCAGUAAGCUUUCAAAUCUCGGGACGAGAUUUUUGUUAGGGGGGAGGGCUGUAACACCCCAGUGUUAUGGUUGCAUCAAUCAUGUGCAUAGCAUGAGCAUCAUCAUCUACUCAAAGCAUAUCAUGAUCAUCAUCUCUCUUGAGCCAUGGCAUUCUAUGCAAAAAUGUGUUUUAAAUUGCUUAAAUAGGCUUCCUAUGCUUAUGUUUGAGUGAACCAUGCUUGUGUUUGUGCUCAAUGCUUUGGUAAUUAGUUUAUCUAUGCUUAACUUAACCUUGGGAACAAUGUUCAUGUUGAUCACUUCUCCAAAAUAUGCCUCUAAGUCAUACUUGUGUAAAUAGACCCUAGAAACCUCUUUUGCUUAGGCUUUUAAAAAGUGUUUCAUAAACUGUUUUCAUGUCAAAACUUCCUACAGAAAAGUUGUAGAAAAUUUUAUAAGGAACAAAAGUUGUUUUAUGGCCAUCUCAUGAAAAUGAUCACAAAUAGCUCAAAAGUGACCCACAAUGCAGAUUUGGGGCUGUUUCCAACACUUAGAAAAUUUUCUAAGUCUUGGAACGAAACCGGUUUGCUCGAUUGAUUUGAAAACUCUAUAUCUCUCAAUCCCGGCUGAUCUGGCCUUUGCUCUAGUUGACAAAGUUGUAGAACUCGUUUGGAACUCCAACUUUGUCAACUGCAUCAUCUUCUAACUCGGUCUGGUUUGGGAGAUAAUCAUCGGUGAAGUUGCUCUGUCAGACUGUCAUCGUUUCUUCUGAAUCGACGCCGAGCUCGUCGACGUGGCCAACCGGCGGCAGAGCUCCGUCGACAUUUGGCGCCCGUACGCCGUUCCUGGCCCCGCCUGUCAGCUUCCGUCGCGUGCAUGACCUCCACGGUGUCGCCCGCGCAGAGUGGACGCGUCCACUUCGCUCUUCCUCGCCUCCACUCGCCAGAAAAGCUUCCGCAGCGAGCUCACUGUCGCGAGCUCCCUCCGGCGAGCUCGUGUGCGCUCCUCGCUGCAUCCCAGUUCACCAAAUUCCAGCCACAGCUCCGCCGUGAACCGCUCUCCAAUCUCCACCCUCUAACUCGCCGAGAAACCCACCGGUGAGCCGACAUUUUCUUCUUCCCCCAAAUCGGGUCGCCGUGACCGUUUUCUCCGGCGAACUCAAUGCCGAGCCCUGUGAAGCCUCUCGUCGUCUCUGGUUAGGUCCUAGAGGUAGCUUAGGUUCUUAGCAAGCUUUUGCACCACUUGGUGGACGCUCUACCAAGCUCUCCGUCGCCGGACACGGUGCGCAGCGCCGCCGUGCUUCCGCCGGAGAUGGGUGCUCUCGUGGCCAGCGUGUUCCACGAGGAUCCAAGCCAAGCCGCAUACCUAGGAAGCUCCGCCGUAGUUCGCUGGUGCUGUAGAAGGCCUUAGGUCGCGCUCUACCGGCCUGAGGGCUCCGGCGUAACGCCGAGCACCUCCGCCGAGCCGCCAUCGUCGACGGUGAGCCCCUUCCGGUGGCUCCGCCGUGGAGAAAAGGGGGUCAAUCGAGUCGCUAGGGUUUGGGGAUCACGAUGAUGCCCUUGGUUUGGCCGGAGACCUCGCCGUCGCGGAGAAAUCGCCGGCGAAAGUCGCCUCGGCCGUGAGGAAGAAGGACCUGACAGAUGGGGUCCACUGUCAGUGUCUCCUCUUUCCCUCCUUUUAUUUAUUUCAAAAUCCUGAUUUUUGACUUUUUUGCAAAAAUCAUAUCUCCUGUUUCUGAGAUCCAAAAAUUGUAAAACAAAUUUUGUGGUAUUCCUUGAGAUGGCUAGUUUUUAAUAAAAAUAUAAAAUGAACCAUGUUUUCUGGGAAAUUAUUUAUUAAGGAUUUAAUCUUGUUAUUCAUGGAUAAAUGCAUAUCUCUUGUUAUACUGCUUCGUUUGCUCUGAAAAUUUUAUGGUUGCCUCUGUAUGGUAUUAGAAUGCUUUGAUAAAUAUUUCAAGAUUUUUGGAAUACUGCAGCUUUGAUAUGUAAUUUAUGAUUGAAAUGUGGCUUGUUUCUUGAUUAAAUCAUAUAAAAUAAUUGGUACUUAUGCUGGUGCUCUACUUUGGUAGUAAACUUGUUUAUGGCAUUCCUAAUGUGUAAAUAAUCUGAAAUCUGUUGUUUGGCAUAAUAUAAGUCAUGUUUCUGAAUUUAUGAAAUAAACACCUAGGCAAAUGUUAAAUACAUAUCUUUAAUUUGGUAUGUGCAAUUGCUCUGAAAUUUUCAUGGUGAUACUUUGAUGAUGUCCGUGUGCUGCUGUAAUUUUUAUAGAUAUUUCUGAGCAAUUUGACUAGUAUCUUGUAAUUAUGCUCUUAUUUAGAAUUAAUUAAUAAAUGCCUUGCUAAGUAUAUGUUUGAGGGUUGUCAUCUGAUGUUCUGGUAAUCUUGUAAUAUGCUUGUGCUCAUAAGCUAUGUGAUUGGCAUUGUUUGUGUUUUGGUCAUGUCAUUAAAUAAUUAACUAUAGGGUUAAAUGCUGUUCUGGACAGCAAGGAAGCAAUUUAACUGUUGCUUAAUGAUAACUUGACUUUCUGUGAAACUUGUCUAAAUCAAAGUUAUUCUAAACUUAUUGAACUAGCUGUGGUUUAAAUUUGAGGUCAUUUGGCCAAGUAGUUUAAAAGUUAUAGCUGUUCCAAGUUGGGUUCCAGAAAUAGGUGUUCUCUGUUUUUCUGGUACAGAACCUGGAACCUUGUUUAAAUGACUGGUUUAAUUUAUGAAUCAUGCUGUGGUGUUUAAAGAUGAUUCGUAGACAAUUUCAUAAGCUUUCCAGAAUGUCUUUAUUUGUGAUUGUUGGAUUUGUCUAUCAUUAGUUAUGAUUUAUUUACUGAGUGUACUUGUUUUAUAUUGCUUGCUGUUUUAGUAUCAUGAUAGGUUUUGGGUUACGCUAACUUGUUUACUUGUGUGAGCUUGUAUAACUUUUGCUCCGUAAAUAAGUAUCCAAUGAGUUGCUUGUGUUAUUAAGCAUUCAUCGUUAGCAUGUGCAUCUUCUUAUUGUUCGAGCAUGCAAUAGGUGCAUCGGACGCGACAGCCUCUUUCGAGCUGCAAGUGAAUCCCGAAGGUCAGGAGGGCAGCCAAGAGGUGGAGGUCCAGCAAGCCGUACUCGAGGAGCCUGAAGAAGAAGUUGAGUGCCCGAAUCACGAGCCGGCAUCGUUCGUGAAAGGCAAGCCCCGGAGCAUUCUAAGUCUCCCUUUACUUUCAAAAGUUUACUUACUAUGUUAUAUCUAUUGAUGCAUUAAGUUUAGGAGUUGUGGUGAAAACCUUUGCUGCACUUUAUUCCAUCCUUGUCCAGAUAAUUCAUCCUACCCUGGUUGUAGAGUUAGGAUUGAGUAGCAGCUUAGCCAUGCUUAAAUCGGUAGAAGUCGGGUGAUAUCCUGUCACCUGCGCGAUAUAGGGUUAUGUCGGAUCACGAUGGUCUAUAUGUGCUAUCGUGAAUGGAACCUGUUUUAAUUGACUUAAGCCGGGCGGAGUUUUGCAAGUUGGUAGUAACUCCGUUUGUGGCAGCUAAGGACCGAUCGUUGUACGUCCUCUUGUCAUGUUGAACGCAUGCCUGACACUUAGUUGGCCGGAUAACUCGUUCCGACCGCGAAGCCGAGUAGUAUGACUCAGGCCGGAAGACCGGCAAGUAUAAAGUGCGCACUACCAGAGGAAGUGCGGUGUGCGGGGGACCAUUGGCGUAAGCCCAAAGGCAGGUGAGUUAAAAUUCCUGACCUCCCUGGCAGAGUGGUAGCCCUGGGAGUGCGGCGCUGAUCGGAGCCGCGAUUCCUGAGUUGUACCAAAGGUGACCCGUUGGCUCUCCGGUAGGGGAUGCUUGGGUGAGUGCUAGGAAUAACCCUCCAGCUGGAUAGGAAUCCGAUUCGAAUCGCCGUCUCUCCCGGUUAGUGAGAACUUGACAGAGCAGCGGCAAACGUAGCAUUCACUAAUGAACUUGGUUCAUGAUAAGGAUGAUAGCAAGAAGAACACAUGAUGAAUUUGAUAUGGUUAUUAUUGUUUGUAAUAAUCAAGUGAUGUGUUGUAGUACAGGUGCUAAUAUAGUGGUAGGCUGAUGAUAAAUAAAAAUGAUGCUCUCAAAAUAAUUUAGUUGUAAGUUAAGCUUUUGGCAAAAAGGUGAGUCAACCAGCUCCACUUGAUAUUUAGCCUUGCAUGAUCCUUGGUGUCUUUUAUGUUUUACUAGACGGGUAAGUCUAGCUGAGUACAUUCUCGUACUCAGGGUUUAUUCCCACCUGUUGCAGAUGACAUCUUCUAUGACGGAUUCUGCAAGACCUGUCUCCAUCCCGCUGGGGAUGAGGACUAACCGUUGGGCACGGUUCUCUAACAAUUUCGUACCUGUUGCUUUUGGAAGGAUGACAUAGACUCUGGCAGUAACUCAAACUUAUGAACCGAACUUCGAAAUGUGUGUGUAACUAUUUUGCUUCCGCUACUUUGGACAAGUGUUGUAACAACUUAAUACUCCGAUGUGGUGCCGCUUCGACGGCAAUGAAUGACUAUGUAACAUUCGUUGUGUUUAUGUUGAACUAUUACGAUCUUGGUUUGUUGCGAGUUGGUUUGAAGUCCUUCGUGAUUUCAAUUGACUACCGGGAUUAUAUGGGCUCAAGUUUGGAAACUUGAUUGCUUGGCGAUCGUUUCUACACUUGAACUCUUAUAAUUUGGUCGGUUCUGUGACAUAUACCGGUCUUUGGACCGGUAGGGCGUGCCCUUCUUCCUUUCUUUCGACCAUGAUAGCUGCGCUGGCCACCUGAUCGGUAGCUGCGACGUAAAGAAGCAAUGGUUCCCCCUCGGCGAGGGGUACCAAGAUGGGAGGGUUAGUGAGUAAAGCCUUGAGCUUGUCAAGGGCUUCCUGGGCCUCGAGGGUCCACGAAAAAUGCUCGGAUUUUCUAAGUAACCUAUACAGAGGUAGUCCUUUUUCCCCGAGACGGGAGAUGAAAUGACUGAGAGAUGCUAGACAUCCCAUGACCCUCUGCACUCCCUUUAGGUUACGAAUUGAGCCCAUAUUUGCGAUGGCCGAGACCUUUUCGGGGUUGGCCUCGAUCCCUCGCUCAGACACUAUGAACCCGAGGAGCAUGCCUCGGGGGACCCCAAAAAUGCAUUUUUCGGGGUUCAGUCUGAUCCCUUUAGCCCUAAGGCAUCGGAAUGUCUCAUCUAGGUCGGCCACGAGGCCGCUCGCCUUCCUAGACUUGACUACAAUGUCGUCUACAUAAGCCUCUACAGUUCUGCCUAUGAGGUCUCUGAAGACCUAGAGCAUACAUCGCUGAUAUGUAGCCCCCGCGUUCUUAAGGCCGAAAGGCAUGGUUACGUAGCAAAACAUUCCAAAAGGAGUGAUGAAAGAAGUCGCGAGCUGGUCGGACUCUUUCAUCUUGAUUUGGUGGUAUCCGGAAUAAGCAUCAAGGAAAGAUAAAAUUUCACACCCCACGGUAGAGUCAACUAUCUAGUCGAUACGAGGUAAUGGAAAAGGAUUCUUAGGACAUGCUUUAUUUAAACUAGUAUAGUCUACACACAUCCUCCACUUCCCAUUUUUCUUUUUGACUAGUACAGGGUUGGCUAUCCAUUUGGGAUGGAAUACCUCCUUGACGAAUCCGGCCGCCAGCAGCUUGUGGAUCUCCUCCCUGAUGGCCCGACACUUCUCCUCAUUGAAUCGGCGUAGGCGUUGUUUCACGGGUUUGGAGCCGGCUCGGAUGUCCAAGGAGUGCUCGGUGACUUCCCUCGGUAUGCCCGGCAUGUCCGAGGGGCUCCACGCAAAUACGUAGGCGUUUGCACGGAGAAAGUCGACGAGCAUUGCUUCCUAUUUGGGGUCGAGGCUCGAGCUGAUCCUCAACGCCAUGCCCUCAGAUGCCUCGGGGACGAGGAAGAUGAGCUUGGUCUCCUCCGCCGGCUCAAAGCUCCCGGCAUGAUGCUUGGACUCUGGGAUGUCCUGGUCGCCAUCACCGAGGCUGGUGAUGAUGGACAGGGACUCAGCCAGAGCCUUGGCCUACUCAAUGCACUCGACGCCGCAUUGGUAGGCGUGCUGGCUUGUUGUGCUGACAGUGAUGAUGCCGUUCAGACCCGGCAUCUUGAGCUUGAGGUAGGUGCAGUUGGGGACGGCCACGAACUUGGCGUAGCAUGGUCGUCCCAGGAUUACGUGGUAGGUCCCUAGGAACACGACCACGUCGAAGGUGAGGACCUCCCAUCUGAAGUUGUCGGGGUCCCAAAGCAGACAGGCAGGUCGAUCUGCCUGAGGGGAUGGGCGCGAUGUCCCGGCACCACUCUGUGGAAUAGUGAUACAUCAUUCCUUAGCCGAGACUUGCUGAUCCCCAUGAGGGCCAAAGUCUCGGCAUGAAGAAUGUUGAGGCCGCUGCCUCCAUCCAUCAAUACCUUGGAGAGAUGAGUCUCGGUGAUGAUGGGAUCGACGAUCAGUGGAUAGCUCCCAGGGUUGGGGAUCCAAUCCGGGUGAUCUUGCCGAUCGAACGUGAUUGCGCUCUUAGACCAUUUGAGGUACGAGGGCGUGGCUGUGCUGACUGCACAAACUUCUCGGAGCUCGUGCUUCCUUUGACUCGUGGUGAGACGAGCCGCACGUCCCCCAAAGAUCAAGAGCCAGUUCUUGACCUUGGGGAAGCCUUCUCCCUAGGCGUCGUCGUCCUUGGGGUGCUCUUCAGCGCCCUCCUUGGCUAUGAUGUCAGUGUAGUACCGACGCAGGACAGUGCACUCCUCGAGGGUGUGCUUGGUUGGUCCCCUGUGAUAGGGGCAUGGCUUCUUCAACAUCUCGUCGAAGAGGCCUGGGCCAGCAGGGGCCCGCUUGGGGUUCUUGCGUUCCGCCGCGGCGACCAGGUUGUCGUCCGACCGACCCUGCUUCCCUUUGCGACUCUUCUUCUUCUUCUUGGGGUCGCGAGAGCCUGAGGCCUCGGUGGUCUCGGCUUUCUGUUUCCCCUUGGCAGUGCCAUCGGAAAAAAUUGCACCAACUGCCUCCUCGCCCGAGGCAAAGUUGGUGGCGAUGUUGAGCAACUGGCUUGUGCUCAUGGGGGUCUUGCGACCGAGCUCGUGUACCAGCUCCUUGCAGGUGGUGCUGGCGAUGAAGGCCCCGAUGACAUCGGAGUCCAUGAUGUUGGGGAGCUCGGUGCACUGCUUGGAGAAUCGCCUGAUGAAAUCUUGGAGAGACUCAUCAGGCUUCUGCCGAUAGCUCCUAAGGUCCCAGGAAUUUCCAAGACGCACGUAUGUGCCCUGGAAGUUCCAGACGAAGAUCCUGACUAGGUUGGCCCAGCCAUAGAUCAUGCACUCAGGAAGAUGCUCGAGCCACGCUCUGGCCGAAUCGGCCAAGUGGAGUGGCAAGUUGCGGAUGAUGAGCAGGUCAUCGUUCGCUCCACCUAGCUAGCACGCUAGGCGGUAGUCCGCCAGCCAGAGCUCAGGGUUGGUUUCCCCUGAGUACUUAGUGAGGUUAGCAUGAUGUCGGAACCGGGCCGGGAACUUGGCCCUGCGGAUGGCCUCGCUGAAGACGCGGGGACCCGGAGGCUCCGGUGACGUGCUGCGAUCAUGGUCGGGGUCGUACCUCCCGCCUCGGUACGAUCGGUAGCGCCAAGACUCGGCUUCGUCCCUGUUACACCGUCUGGCCUAAAGGGUGGCCCAGGUGUCCACGUUGGUCUCGACGCAUUCGUGGACAGACAAGGCCUUAUUGCCCCCUUGCGGGUUAGGGGGCGGCGGUCCCUACACCGUUGGUGCCUUGUUAGGAGGGGGCUGAUCCCUUGGGGUGUCUCGUACCGUGGGACUAGGACGCAGAACUUUCUGUGUUCUGUACCACAACCUGCUCUAGGAGGCCUCGUAGCCCCUGGCGCACCCUUCUCUCCACAGGGGUCGAUGGCUCGGGCAUCGCUCUGAGGAGGAGUGCGGCAGCCAUCACGUUCUGGCUGGCUAUGCUGAAGACUGGGGGGUUGUCUCCCCCUUCGUCCUUGAUGAUGCGGCGGUUGAUGUUCUGGGCAUGGCGUCUAGCCUCGCCUUCGUCCCCGCGGACCGACUGGUCUUGUACCAGGGUCUCGCGCAGUUGGCGGAGGCGUACGCGCUCUUCUUCGAGCCUGGUCUCUAGCUUGUUGCGCUGCUCGAGAUCAGGGCGUCGACCUUCUGCGGGGGCUGAUGCGGCCCCGCGUGCUCCAGGGUGGUUCUCGGGAGUCGUGUUGGGUGGCGGAGUCGCGUUCCUCCGCUCAGAGGGCCCUGCGCCCCCUUGAGCAUUAGGGGACACCCCUCCAACCUCGAGGUUGAAACACUCUUGCGACGGAUCGUAGCCGCCACUGUUAGAGUCGGAGUAGCCGAGGCAGUAGUUACUAGCCUCAAAAAGCACAUGAAAGUUUCUAGGUCACCACAACUAGAAAAAUCAGUGUCGGCACAUUCGUCUUCCCCUGAGGUGGGAUCCUCAGGGUACAAUGAAACGGGUGGUGUAGCAAUAAGGUCUAGAGUAGACCUUAGGUGAUGCUCUGGCAGGUCCGCGUACACACUCAAGGAGGUGCUCGCGGAAGAGGUAUAGGUUGCGGUUGUGCUCCUGAACCGAAAAGGGAACUCAGAAGACGCAGCUGUCUUUCCUCCAUCCGUGGGUGGAGGGUGACAAGGAGUCAAGGCCCCCUGGUCCUUCUUCUGAGGAGGAGGUGGGAGCCGUGCUUUGUCCUUUGACCAGGGUGGAAUAGGAGGUCACGAAGUCCCCCUUUUGGUCCGUGGAGUGGAGCUCGACGCUCCACGGGCCCUUCCUCUAACGCCUGGCGAGCCAGAGGAACGGGCGAUGUGGUGAGGGAUGUGCGGGGGGAGGGCCAGACGGGCCCUUGUCUCGGAGGUAGGGUCAGAGAUUCUUGACCUCUGACGCCCACGUCAGGCUCCCCCUGCAUGAUGCCCCAAGUGCCUCCCACGCACUGGCUGUGGUGGGAUCGGCUCGAGGCGAGGUGAGGCGUCGUCACGCGGUGGGAGGAGGACCAUGUCAUAGCCGGAGCCGAGCGACAUGAACUCCAGACUCUCAAACAUCAUGAUGGUGCCGAGGCGGAGUGGGCGGAAUCCGUCUACCAUCCGAGCUGCCCCCAAUAGGGAAAGGAAAGUGCAACACAGAAGGCCCCUACCUGGCGCGCCAACUGUCGGCGUCUAGACUCAUGGUCUAGACACUAACGAGUAUAAGUCUGCGUGUCUUCCUAAACCCGGAUGGUGAUGCAAGUGGAACAUAGAGGGUUUAUACUGGUUCGGGCUAAGGGUGCCCUACGUCCAGUGUGAGAUUGGGAGUCUGUAUUGCCUUGCACCCAAAGGUGCUUGUAGUAAGGGUGUACAAGCAGGUUGCGAGAGAGGGCUAAGUCCCAGGUCUUGACUUUAUGUGGUGGACAGAGCACUACUUGCUACUCUGAAUGUGUGUGGUCUUGUUUGGAGUUCUAGUGUUGUGAGCGCGUGUUAGGAUGUGUGCCCUGGCUCCCCUUUUAUAGUCAUAAGGGGACACAGGGUUUUUACAUGUGUCGACCGACGAUCUCCUUCUGGUGAAUGGUGAAGCCACAGUCCCGACCCUGUAGAAGCUUGCCCAUCCCAUCCUUGGAGUAUGGCUGGCAGCAUGGUUACUCCUAUGGAGGGUUGCUGAGCCCUAUUGAGGUCAUGGGGGUCGGAUCGCUGAUACUGCUGCAUGUCCUGUAAUAGUAGGAGAAGACAGCCAACAGUGGCACUGGUUAAUCUCUUCCAUACCUCUUUUACUGUGAGGUGGUAUUUCAUAGUAAAAGAGGUAAGGCUGCAUAGUGAAAGAGGUAAGGCUACAGUGGCCAGGGUGGAUGGAACAGUUGUUGCCAUGCCCUGCCGCAGUAUAAGGAUCACAGCGCGUGUCAUGACGAGGGUACGACCACCGUGCGUUGGAAGCCCGGCUCCGAGAUGGGGGCUCGGGAGAGGCGGUGUUUGCGCCCGAGCCCAAGAGGGGUCGGGCGAGGCGGUACUUACGCCUGAGGCCAAGGGGUCGGUCGAGCCAGAGCUUGCGCUUGAGGCCAAGGGGUCGGGCGAGGCGAAACCCGCGCCCGAGCCCUAGUGAUCUUGGGUGAUUUGCCUUAUUCCCCUUUUUUGUAUUUUUUUAUUCCUUUAAUCUGGGUAUCCCUUUUUAUGGUACCCAACACUAUCGGCUUUAGCGAUAUCAAAAGCAAAUUUCUCUGGUUCUUUCUGGCCAAAAGAACAAGACAUCGGCUUUUUGUUUUUCACCCACUUUGCCAAGCUGAUGACUGGUUCCUCAUCCGAAUCAGAACUCCUUGCCUCAUCAACAAACGAUACUUUCUUAUUCCAUGCUCUCCUAGGUUCAAAAGUCUUGAUAUCUUGGUCAGAAAUCCUCUGCACCAAAUGACUCAGACUCUCAAACUCUUGAGAAGCAUAUUUAUCUUUGAUGUGUGGCAACAAUCCUUGGAAAGCCAAAUCAGCUAACUAUCGAUCAUCUAGAACCAAACUGUAGCAUUUGUUCUUGACAUCCCGCAACCUCUGCACAAAGCUUUCAACCGAUUCAUCAUUGCGUUGCCUCAGCCUUACUAAAUCAGUAAUUUUCUUCUCAUGAACCCCAGAGAAGAAAUACUUGUGGAACUGCUUCUCUAGAUCCGCCCAAGUAAUUACUGAGUUUGGAGGUAGAGAAAUAAACCAAGUAAAUGCCGAUCCCGACAAAGAUGAUGAAAAUAAAUGAACUCUUAAUUCAUCUCUAUUAGCAGCCUCUCCACACUGGAUGAUGAACCUAUUGACGUGUUCCAUAGUUGACGUGUCCUCUUGUCUAGAGAAUUUAGUGAAAUCUAGCACCUUGUACCGAUUUGGAAGUGGAAUCAAGUCAUAUGCAGGAGGGUAUGGUGUCCGAUAAGAAUAAGUAUUGACCUUGGGUUUUAUCCAGAACUGAUCUCUCAUUACUUCAGCUAUCUUAUCGACCCAAUAGGCAUUGACAUCUUGUCGAUGUGCAGGUUGAGGUUCUGGCACCUGCUGAUAAGCUUCCACGUGUCUCUGAGGGGCACAAUCUCCAGGGAACAUAGCAUUGGCCAUAGCCUGUUGGCCACCAAUCUGCUAAGGAAGAUUCAUCGGCUGAUUGGCUGGUCCUUGAUUCUAAAAACCAACCUGCAUCUGUCCCUGCUGGAAUCCUGUAGCCUGAUGAUUCUGUUGUGUCAUUUGUGGAAAGACAAACUGCCCUGUCCACCCAUUGUUGGCAUUCAUCAGCGCAGGCCCUGCCGAUGGCUGAUAAUUGGGAGUCAUCAUUAGAUUGACAUAUCCUGUCUGAGUCAUAAACCUCUGGUGCGUCGGUAGUGGAUCCACUGAUGCAUUAGGUAUUUGGAAUGUUGGCAUCUGAAAGUUCCCUGUAAUAGGCCUUGCAGUAGUAGUAGUUGAGUACUAAGGGUUUUGAGUCAUCGGCAAAACUAGAGGUGCCGAUGUCAUAGGAGCUUUUCCUGCCAAGUCAGCCACUUGAGAUGUUCUAGAACUAUUUGCAAAAAAGCCUACAAUUUUGAAAUACAGAUCCUGACAUUGCCGAUGCCGAUAGAUCUGUGUUGAGUUGAACCCAUCCUUCUGAGGUUGUUGGAUUGGUCCUCAUUGGUGUAGAUUGCCCAUUAGUCAUCCCUAAUGUGCUUGGAGGAGAAGUAACUUCUGUACCGCAACGGUCGGAGGAGCCGAUGGAGCUGUAACUGAUGACAACCCGGGCUGGUGAUAGGCUGGGCCAACAUAUAACGGUGGUGCUUGUCCUUCUUUGAAAGUUCUAGCCAUAGCAUUGAAAACAGUAUUGGACAGCACACUAGAUUGAUUGAUCAAAGCACGAUUAAUAGCAUUGUCAACCAUAUCUUGCAAUUUACCAGGGUUGUCUUCAAAAGUGAUCUGCCGAGGCAUCGGCAGUUCUUGCUUCUGGAUCUCUUCACCGCUCCUGUUGACACUGAAGGAUUUCAAGCAGAGCUGCUUGUAUUCCUCCAUAGCUUUUGCCAUAGCUUGCUUCUGCUCAUCCCUGAGAUCAGCCUCCGUCACAGCAAUGAUGUUUUCUUUGUCAAACUCAGUAUGAGCCAUGUUGAUCUUGUCGAUAGAUCUGUCCCACCGAGUGUGCCAAAAGAUGUGUUGAUGCAAAAGUGGAUCUGCAAACACAACGGGCUAAUACCCGAUUUCAACGUUAAGGCGUGCUAGCCGAUUUGACCUUAUAAUCGACAAAGGUGAUAACUCGAAUACUUUGGUCCCGACAACAGUGAUGCGCCCGGAUGCCACGGCCAAGAGAUAUUCGCGUUGAACUCGAGAACUCAUCGAGUAUUCACGCGGAUUCCCACGUCUUCCUUCACCAUCAUCGGCAUAUCAUCCUCCAUCGGCAUCGACAAUCAUCAACACCAGCCAUCGGCAAUGAUCAACCACUUUUCCUAGACUUAACUAUACCUCCCUCCUGCUGCUUCAUCAUCGGUAUCAUAGGCCAUCGGCAACUCCCUUGUCGACCAGUCAUUACUUUUCCAUCUGCCGAUCUAAGCUUCAUUAUCCUUCCUGCUACGUUGUUGACGGUCCUUAAGUAUCAAAUUUAAUUAUCAAAUAAACAAAGAAAAGGAUCUAAAUGACAUCAACAUCUAGACUUAGGGUUUUAUCUGACAGAAUUCCAUGAGUUUUGGUGUUUGUCUAUUUCUGCAGGGGGUUAUCAGGAAAUACGGAAGAAAGGCCCACACGUCGGGAUUACAUAGAGAUAUCAACGUGCCGCGCAAUUAUUUUACAUCUAGAAGACUCCAGAAGCCACAGGAAGGAAGCAGAGGCCGAACGGAGCCAGGACCUGGGCGCCUGCCCAAGUCCUUAGGGCACCCGCCCUGCUACAGUGGCCAAUCACGUUCAACCUCGCGGAUUAUGCUCCACCGACCUAAAGGAUCAAGAAUAACCGUUCAAUCAAUGUCGGUUUGAUCCGACGGCCCAGGUUCACUUGAGGGGACUAUAUAACCAGACCCCCUGGCCCCUGGAGGAGGCACCCCUUGAUCAUUAUUCAUUAUUCAUAGACAGAGCAAAAGCUAGGGUUUAGAGAUGAGAGCUCUCCUCUCUUCUCUAAACUAGAGUAGAUCUAGAUAGUAGCAAGAUGGAGAGCGAAGGAGGAUUAGAGGAGAGGCCGGCCUGUCGGUUCUUCCUCCGGUUGUACUUCGUCAUGAUCAAGUUCUAAUCAAGCUUGCUUAUGGGAUGACUCUGGUAAUCUACUUCUAAUUCAUUAUGCAAUUACUAAUCAUGUAUGUUCUGGUUCACAACUCUUUUGAGUACUUCUAAUCUAUAGGACGCUAUAGGUUAGAGUUGUAGUAUAGGUGUAAGCGAGGUGCUUAGAUCUAGAUUACUUGUGGAUAUCCCCUGUCUAGCUGGAUCGUGUGGUAGGCCGCGUAGGUGACAGUUACGUUGGUCCUCUGUAGUCCACCUCUCGUUAGCAGGACGGGUAGGGUUUAUCGGCCUAUGGAUAAGCAUCCUUUGUGGUGUAAUCUUAUCACAUAGUUUGUCCCAGACAUAGACAUACCCCUUUGAAGUAGAGAAACCAUAGUUAUACUCUCUAUUCUGCUACCAUCGCCCAUAUACUAGAUUGCUCUACUCUCUAUUCCCAUAUUUUCACUCAUUGUUAUCUUUAAUAUUAUUCUUAUUCGAUUCUACCAUCUUUCCUAUUUACACCUAUUUACUUAUCUUGGUUAAGUUAGAGCGUAGAUCAGUUCUCCCGUUUCCCUGUGGAUACGAUAAAACCUUUAACCGGGUAAAAGCUUCAACGGUAUCCGUGCGCUUGCGGAUUAUCUGUGUGCGUAUAAAUACCAUAGUACACUCUAGUGCCAUGCUGGGGAUGACAACCUAGUAUUCAAGUGGUGUUAGCAAGUGUCAACAAGCAUUUUUGGCGCCGUUGCCGGGGAAACGGUUGCUGAGUUGACUACGAACUAGCUUAAUCAUUUUCUAAAAAAAAUAAAAAAAAUACUUUCCUUUUAUCCUUUGCCUCAUCUCUGCUAAUCUUUCUUCUUAUCUAAUCCUUGAUCUCUGGUCUAUCAUGAAUUCAAACAUGUCUAUCUAUGAAUUUCAUAGACCUACGGGCACACAUCUCGAACCACCAAAAUCUUCAAAGCCUAUCAUAGCAUCUAGUUUUGAGAUAGACCCCGAAUAUAUAGAAUUUGUUCAAAAACAACCUUUCUCAGGAGAAGGUGAGGAAAACCCAUAUACACACCUAAGAGAGUUUUAUCGAGUCUGUGACCUCCUUCGCAUAGAAGGAAUGUCCGAUGAGACCCUCAAAUGGAAGCUCUUUCCGUUCUCUUUAAGGGGAAAAGCUAGACAUUGGUACAAACUCAAAGUAGGGAGUGUUCAUGGAGAUUGGAAGGAGUUACAUAAUAGUUUUCUUUUAAAAUAUUUUCCAAUCUCCAAAGUGGCGGAACUUCGGCGUGAGAUUAUUUCUUUUAGACAACUGGAAGAAGAAUCUCUUAGGAAAUCAUGGGACCGCUUUAUUAACCUUACUCUCACUGGCCCAAAGCUUUCUAUUCCAGAAGAAGUUCUUCUAAUUCACUUUUUUGAGGGCCUUAGUAGGGAAAAUAAGCAAACCUUGAAUACAGCCUCUAGAGGAUCCUUCUAUCACCUACCUGCUAGUGAAGCUUGGAAUUUGAUUCAUUUAUUAAGUGGAAAGUCUCCUAGCUUUUAUAUCCCUGAGAAAGAGAUAGAACCAGUUCCUAGACAAGAAGAAGAAGUUUCGAUAGCCAGAUCACAACCACUUCAAUUCCAAACUUUAGAUAUCGAUCCUAAACCAUCAAUACCCCAAAAUUCUCCAAGGGAGGAAGGAAUUCCGACCUUAAAUCUUUCAGAUGCUGAUGGUUUAGACUUCUGGUUCCAUAAGAGACCUUCAAGCAGGGAUAAUUCAAAUCCUCGCAAUAAUGGUUCUCUUAGAGAAUGUCCUGGUUCCUGUUAUGAAGAAGUCGAGGAUGACACAUCAAGUAAAGGAGAGCUAAGCCAUAUUGAAAAUUCUAACACCUCCCCUUUCCUGAUCACAAGUUCUAAAUGGCUAGAAUGUGUAGAAUGGAUGGAUAAGGAAGAAGCCUUAAUGAAUUUUGACUUUGGUUCAAUUUCAAAUGGUGAGUUCUUGACUCCCUUUGAAGAUGAGAUUCAUCCAACUACAGAAGAGGACAUAAGUGAGACCAAUCCAAGAGAAACUCUAAACAUUGAGAUUGGAGACGAAGAUAACAUUAAUGAGCAUGGAAUUUAUUUCAUAGCCACUUUGUUUACUCCAUGCUCAUAUGCAACAUCUUCCCAAUCUAUUGGUCUCUCCAACAUCACCACAUUUGAGAUCUCCAACCCCCUCUUCCUUUCUAUUUAUAAAAACUUUAAAAGGGCGGUUGUCGAUGCAUAUGUCUAUAAUAAAUAUUGCAGAUCUCGUUGAGUUGAUCUUGAUAUAGGUCAGCGUUGGAAGGGAAACCACUUCGCCGACAUAAAUUGAUGGUUUCCCAAGGACAAGCUUAGUGUCCUAAAAUAAGCACUGAUCAGAUCAUAACAUGAACAUUUAAUUAUUUACAACAUUGCCUUGUGUAUUGAGCAUAUAAAGAUAAUUGUAAAAAUAUUCCUUCGGGUAUUCUUGUCACUAACCUUUCCAGGAUUGGAGCAAGAAGAUCGGAUAAAUGACAAGCACAAGGUAUGUCCAACCAAUCAUCAUGCAACACUGAAUUAAAUUCAUCCAAACUUGAAUUCUGCAAAAUUCAAGCUUGGGGGAGUACUUUACAUAAAAACAUCAUUUGCGAUGUUGCUAUGAUGGUUGUCCCUACCUUUGAGACAUGCUCAAUUUGUUAAAUACCAAUCACACUACUCUAUCUCCACUUGAGUAGAUCUCUAUAAAUGCUGUCUUGUUACCUUUCUCUAUUUACUAGUAAGUGUUAGUUUGGAAGUACUACACAUACUUCUAUUGGCUUUUAAAUUAAGCAUGGUGCUUAGGUUAAACAGCCUUCCUUAAUCUGAUUAGACAUGGAGUCUAGUUCGGUUAUUGAACUAAAAACUGCUUGUGUAGACAUUGGUAUAUUUUUGUCGGACUAACCCCUGCAGAAAAAACUUUCAAUAUCGAUUUGGGAAGUCCUGAGAUAAACUCACAUCAGAGACAAAGAGAGUGAGACAUGAAGUUUAACAAUUUGCACAAGAAGGACAUAGCUCAUUCAUCAUAGAGAGAUGAUCUAUGGAGGGUGCCACAAACACGAUGCACAACCGCUAAGAAAGGAAAGCUUCCACAAGGUGAUACUGUACCAUCACUCUUCAAGCAAUGUAACACCUUAAGGUACUUGACUAUCACUUUUAUAAACUUCUCCUUGGUUCUGGCGUUCAUAUAAAUAAAAGAGACAAACAUGUAUGAUUUAGAACUCUAGAUUAACCAACCCAACUGAUUCAACAUGUUUAGUCCUUUAAACCUUGUUCUUAGUACUACCUCCAUGAUCCCACACUCCUAAUGAUAUGAGCUAAAAUGUUACACAUUCAAUCAUUGAGAGAUAUAAAGAAAAAGACAUAUACAUAGAUAGAUUAUCUUUCCAUAAGGUUGAGCGAUCUGAUCUGACAAAUGUUAUAAGUGCUACACUUAUGAACUUUUCAUCCAUCAACUUUGUCUUGCUCACUAUGCUUAGGGUUAGAGAAGAACAAAUACACUUUAGGUUCUGUUGGUGUUUUCCACCAACAGGACCCAUGCACUUGAUCUCUGCCUUGUCUCUAUGAGCAGGUACACUUUGAGCAAAACACGGAGGAGUUUUAUAACUCUCAUACUCUACCAAGUGAAGGACCUGGAUCUACGAGCACAAACACACUGAGCAGGUUACUGCCAACGCCGCACUUCGAACUGCUGGGCAAACGAAGAACAUGGGUGACACCGUAUCAAGAGGUGCAGACGUCAAGGUCCGCACCUGAAUCAAAUGACGCACCUGAAGAAUGAACACGGUGAGAAGUCUUGUUAAGAAGACUUAAAACAUUGAACCAUCGCCGAAAGGUAAGAUCGGUAGUUAUACAUAUUUAUCCUUUCUGUAUUCCCUUUUCCCUUUAAUUAUUUACUUUCAUUAAAUAGAUUAUUAGUUAAUCAUGCUAUCUUGAAAAGAAAAUAAAAAUGUUAAAAAACACUAAGCCCCAUGUGAGUAUACGAGUGGCAUAAAACCCAUAAGUACCUUCACUGUGGUGGCAUAAUAAUAAAAUAAAUAUUUCUUUUCUGCUUUAUAAAAUAAAAAUAUAAAAACAGGGAGUAAUAUUUGAGGAAGCUCAACAUGAUGAAGGCUAGAUAUUUAUGCUAACACUUAAUUAGUUCCACAAGCUUUGUUGUCUAUUUGAGCUCCACAAAAUUUAAGAAUCAAGAAGACUAGCAGACGGAGGACAUUCUAAUCGCUGUCAGAAUGCUGCUGACUUUCAAAUACACGUCUGCCACCUGUUAGCUACAUUAAGAGAAAUUACGUCAAAUUCAGCUUGGGGGAGAGCACCCCCAUUUAUCUUGCUAAGUAUUUCUACCUAUCUUUAUACUUAUAUUAUAUAAGAAAAUUAAAAUACAUAACCUAUGAAAAACUAAAUAAAGAUUUUGUGCUUAUAUAUAUAUCUUUUGCUUAGUGUGUUUAAUAAAUAAAUAAAGUGGCUAUGCUAAUCUGAAUCUUAAUAAUAAAAUUCUAGCAUGGAUCUGAUGAAUAGUUGCUCUGCCUAAUUUGCAAAUUUGAAGUUCUCUCUCAAGUUUAGACAUAACUGUUAUAAUUUAAAGCUUGCUCUAGAUCUAAACUUGUGGGAUGAAAACUUGAUCUGAAAUCUAAGUUGUUAACGGAUAUGAUAUGGGAAGGUUGAGCUGCUGUUUAUCUGUUCUUAGAGAUGCUAGAAUUCUGGAGAAUUUUAUCUUUGAAAAGUCUUUAAAAUAUUGCAUGAUGAGUUCCUGUAUGAUGAGAGUACAAAUUCCUACCACAGCCAUAUAUACAUGCUUAUUAGACUAUGAACCAUACAUUUACUUUUUACUGCUUAUGAGCAUUGAGUGUGGUCAAGUUGUGUAGACCCUUAGGAGCUUGUCAUGCGGUUAAAAUCAAGAUUUCACUUGCACAUUCACUCAUAUAUGCUACUUCUACUCCGGAAGUACCAUCCACAUAUAUCCACUCAUUUCCAUCUCCAGAACCACCCAAAAAUAUUCUACUCCUAAUCUGGGAGAGAAUAACCAAAAAUAUUUCUGUUUUUCCUUGUGAAAUAAAUGCUCAUGUUAUCUUGUUACUACCACUUGCUAUAUUAUCUCAUGAGAUGAGUGCUCUAAAAAAAGAGAGAAAAAAAUAUACGAGGAAAUAAAAAGGGGCAAGUGCCCGGAACCUCGAAAGAAAAGAAAAAGAGUGAGACGAGAGGUAAAAAUGGACAAGUGUCCGACAGUAGAAUUAGGGGUACAAGAUACCCACCUGAGAGAAAAGAAAAAGAAAAGAUAGAGCAUCUCAUUCUCCUCAUAAAGUUUCAAAAAGCAAGGAAGGUAUGUAUCCCCUCAAAAGAGCAAAAGUAGAAUUAGACUUUCACCAUUGUCAUCACCAUCAUCACCAUACACCAUUCAUUCGCCACACAUGCACAUCUUGAUUUGGCUUAUUAAUUUGUUUCUUUGGAUCCAUGGUUUGACUAUACAAUAAAUGUCUUGUAUGUAUACCUUAUCUCCCACCUAUGAGCUCCAUUUAUUAAAGCCUUAUUAGAGUAGGGUGAGAGAGAAGGCAAUGUCACUAUGCCUUAUAUACCACAUAUCUUGAGAGAAGGCAUAUACCAUCACUGCCUUGGUAAGGAUCCAGAAAUACCACAAAAGAGAGAUUUAGAGAGUCAUACAAGGAAGCUCUGAGUUUUAUUUGAAAAUCUGCAAAAACUCCAGAGCUAUAGCUGAUCAAGAAUAAGAGACAUGGCACUUGGCUAGACUAUUCUAUCUUUUAACUACUCAAGAUAGAAGUGACGGUUACAAGUCCCAUGGUGAAAGGUAAAGUAAGUAAGUUUUAGUUCUUGACAGUUUACUCUAACUCAGAGAUGAGAUCUUAUUUAAAAGCAUGUGUACCGUCAAAUUUUUAAAGAUAUUGCAACAACUUCUGAUCCCUUGCUGAGUCUAUCCUUGCUCAGGGACGAGCAAGAGGUAAGCUUGGGGGAGUUUGUUGACGGUCCUUAAGUAUCAAAUUUAAUUAUCAAAUAAACAAAGAAAAUGAUCUAAAUGAAAUCAACAUCUAGACUUAGGGUUUUAUCUGACAGAAUUCCACGAGUUUUGGUGUUUGUCUAUUUCUGCAGGGGGUUAUCAGGAAAUACGGAAGAAAGGCCCACACGUCGGGAUUACAUAGAGAUAUCAACGUGUCGCGCAAUUAUUUUACAUCUAGAAGACCCCAGAAGCCACAGGAAGGAAGCGGAGGCCGAACGGAGCCAGGACCUGGGCGCCCGCCCUGCUACAGUGGCCAAUCACGUUCAACCUCGCGGAUUAUGCUCCACCGACCUAAAGGAUCAAGAAUAACCGUUCAAUCAAUGUCGGUUUGAUCCGACGGCCCAGAUUCACUUGAGAGGACUAUAUAACCAGACCCCCUGGCCCCUGGAGGAGGCAGCCCUUGAUCAUUAUUCAUUAUUCAUAGACAGAGAAAAAGCUAGGGUUUAGAGAUGAGAGCUCUCCUCUCUUCUCUAAACUAGAGUAGAUCUAGAUAGUAGCAAGAUGGAGAGCGAAGGAGGAUUAGAGGAGAGGCCGGCCUGUCGGUUCUUCCUCCGGUUGUACUUCGUCAUGAUCAAGCUCUAAUCAAGCUUGCUUAUGGGAUGACUCUGGUAAUCUACUUCUAAUUCAUUAUGCAAUUACUAAUCAUGUAUGUUCUGGUUCACAACUCUUUUGAGUACUUCUAAUCUAUAGGACGCUAUAGGUUAGAGUUGUAGUAUAGGUGUAAGCGAGGUGCUUAGAUCUAGAUUACUUGUGGAUAUCCCCUGUCUAGCUGGAUCGUGUGGUAGGCCGCGUAGGUGACAGUUACGUUGGUCCUCUGUAGUCCACCUCUCGUUAGCAGGACGGGUAGGGUUUAUCGGCCUAUGGAUAAGCAUCCUUUGUGGUGUAAUCUUAUCACGUGGUUUGUCCCAGACAUAGACAUACCCCUUUGAAGUAGAGAAACCAUAGUUAUACUCUCUAUUCUGCUACCAUCGCCCAUAUACUAGAUUGCUCUACUCUCUAUUCCCAUAUUUUCACUCAUUGUUAUCUUUAAUAUUGUUCUUAUUCGAUUCUACCAUCUUUCCUAUUUACACCUAUUUACUUAUCUUGGUUAAGUUAGAGCGUAGAUCAGUUCUCCCGUUUCCCUGUGGAUACGAUAAAACCUUUAACCGGGUAAAAGCUUCAAUGGUAUCCGUGCGCUUGCGGAUUAUCUGUGUGCGUAUAAAUACCAUAGUACACUCUAGUGCCAUGCUGGGGAUGACAACCUAGUAUUCAAGUGGUGUUAGCAAGUGUCAACAUACGUGUCCAAAAACGGAGUCAACACCAGUAGUAGAGGGUGGCCUCUUCUUCUCGUGCGGUGUGGGAAGGGAGCAUCGGUGCCGCCGCUGCCCCAAACCUCUGCUCUGCCCAUCUGCCCUUGACGCACGAGCCUGGCUAGCCGCACACCUCAACCGCCCUUCUACCCUUGCCGCACGAGCCUGGUCAACCACAAAUCUUUUAAAGUACUACAAGAAAAUUGCCUAAAACACAACAUUGUACAUUCAAUCCUACACUACUUAGCGAUAAAAUGAAUAUACACUUGAUAUGGUUAAAGGGUUACAACAUUUUGUUGGUAAUCUAAAUUACUAAGAAUUCCAAUGGUUUUGUUGAUCUGAAUGUUUAUUUAUUUCAAGAUUUGACUUCAGUGUGCUAUUCUAAAUGUAUAUCUUUUUUCUAUCUAGUAGCAUCAAACAUGUGAAUAAAGACCUAAUUCACAGGUUUCCUUGUCACUAUAGCAACACAAUGCAUAACACAGGUGAGCUUUACUUUUUUAUCAUAGGUGAGCUUUACUUGAUCUAGCUGCAGUGGUUACCACAAGUUAGUAGUCUUGUGAGAAUUAUCUGCACUAUUUAAUGCUUAAUAACAACCUACACAUGACCUGCAUCUAGUAUGGAUGCAAAACAAGGAAAGUAUCAUGCUUCUUGGUACUGUUGUGAUCGUUAUACCUUACUGCAUCUACUCAACUCAAAGGUUAAUAAUAAGAUCUGCCAUGAAGACAUCGUAUUAAAGAAGAGCUGCACGUGUGGUGUUUGUCGUCAGUUGAGAGGAAUAUCUUCCCGUAGGCAUCAUAUUCAUAUCUUGUGCUAAAGUCGAGAGGAAUAUGUGCUAAUGCCAAUGCCUUACCUUCAUUGAUGGAUGGAUGCCUUGCCAAGCAUUCGAGAGCUUUUCACUCAGCAGGGAAUUUCAUCAAACACCUUAUAUGCAUAUGCCAAGUGACAAGAGGCAGUCACAAAUAAGAGAGGGAGCAGUGCACUGGCCGCGGUGCCACCGAGGGGCGUCUUCAGCGCAGGCCACGCCGUGCCACCAUGACAGGAGCCUUCACACCGCUUCCCUCCCAAUGGAUCCAUGACGGAUUGAGUGCUCCCUUGAUGGAUUCGCGAGCAUGUAGCCCUAGAUGCGCUGCCAUGGACGAUGGAGGGAGGUGGAGCCGCGACCGGUGGUGAUGAGGGUGUGCCUUUGUCGGUGAAGAGGAAGGAGCGUCGCCGCCUUGGCCUGUGCGGGAGCUGUCUUCAGCAUGGUUGAAGGGGGAGGAGCGUCGCCGUAGUCGAUGCCGGAGCCGACGAAGUAGACGAGGCACCGCUGCUAGUCCUAGAAAGGCUGCCAUAGCCGAUGGGAUAGGUCCCGAUCUGGGCGUGGGGAUGGAGAGAGAUACGAGAGAGAGGGGACUUUCAUUUGAACCCCGACAAGUUUGGUGGAUCCCACAUAAAGUGUGGCAGAGGAGGGGAAGAGGAGUGAGUUGGCGGUGGGUCUAGUUCGGUGCAACCAGCUAUCUACACUUUGGCUAGGGCUUCCGUAACUAUCAGAAGCCCUAAGAGCAUCUUUAGCAGGCUCCUAAACUCACUACCUAAACUAAAUUUAGGUAGUGAAGGCCAAAAUACUCACUCCAACAGGCUACCUACUUGACUACCUAACUUUGUUGGCCCAACAAAUCUUCCUUCCCACUACCUACAUCUAUUAGGCCAACAAACCUGGCUACCUAUUUUUUCCCCUUCCUCUCUCCUCCCGCACAUGACACCGCUGCCUGCGCGUCUCGCCCUGACAUUCGCCUGGUCGCGCACCUCCUCCCCAUCGGUCGUGCGCCUCCUCCCCACCGGCCAGCUCGAGUGCUUCGUCCCCGCCGCCACCGAGCGAGAUGUAGGAGAUGGACAUGCCACCGAGUGACCCGAGCGAUGGCAGAUGGACGUGCGCCGGCUCGGAGGCUGCAUCGUGGCAGCGCUGAGGGCGCUCACCGUGGGGGGCUCGCUGCCCAUCCCGUCGUGGAUCGCCAAUGGCCUGGCGAUCAUCUCGCUCGUGCUCUCCUCCUGCGACCUGCUCCACCUCUGUAGCGAUAGGGACCACUGUUGACGGUCCUUAAGUAUCAAAUUUAAUUAUCAAAUAAACAAAGAAAAUGAUCCAAAUGGAAUCAACAUCCAGACUUAGGGUUUUAUAUGACAAAAUUCCACGAGUUUUGGUGUUUGUCUAUUUCUGCAGGGGGUUAUUAGGAAAUACGGAAGAAAGGCCCACACGUCGGGAUUACAUAGACAUAUCAACGUGCCGCGCAAUUAUCUUACAUCUAGAAGACUCCAGAAGCCACGGGAAGGAAGCAGAGGCCGAACGGGGCUAGGCACUGGGCGCCCACCUAGUUGACCUGGGCGCCCGCCCCCUCAUAGAAUUGGAUGAGGACUCUCUUUCGGGACUAAUCUCCACCGACCUAAGGGAUCAAGGAUAAUCGUUCAAUCUAUGUCGGUUUGAUCCAACGGCCCAUAUUCACUUGAAGGGACUAUAAAACCAGACCCCCUAGCCCCUAGAGGAGAGAGCCUCUCAACCCUAAUUCAUUAUUCCUCAAGGGAGAAGAAGCCUCUGAUCAAGAUUAGAGCCACCACAUCAAUUAGAUAUCUAGAUUAGCAUAGCUACAUAGGAUUAGAACUAGAAGGAGUCAAUCUUCGAUUGGUUUCUGGAUCUGUCAAGAGGAUUCUUGGUAAUUCUCUAAUGGUUCUUCUAAUUGUUCUUCUAAUCAUCUUUGUUCUUAAAAUAUUAUGGAUAUGACUUUGUUCUACUUCAAUAUAUUGCUUAUGAUUUUGCUCUACUUGUUUAUAUUCAAGAUUAAAUUGUUCUUAGUCUAUCAUAGUUAUAUACUUGGCUUAGUUAGAUUGGAUCUAUAUACAUGUUUAGGAUCGUAUAGCGUUUAUCCGUUGGAUCCAUGGGUAAAUGAUAGAUAUUGUGUAGGGGUGGUGCUUAUACCGUAUUUAUCUGCGAUUGUACUCGAUAUGCCAGAUCGUGGGGUAGUUCGUGAUAGUGACAGCUUCAUUGAUUCUUAUAUAGUCCCCCUCUCGUGUAUUGGGCUGGCAGAGCAACAUUAUUACAGGGGAGUGAUUGCUAUGUUUCUCAUUUACCUUGCUAAUAUCACUAUGCAUAGGCGUAGUCUUGUCUCGCAAUGAUUGCUAAGUACGCUUGCACUAACUAUGAUAAUGCUAGACUAUAUAGUUGAGAAUAACUUAGGAAAUAUUCUUGUAGUUCGUUCUAAUUCCAUGCUAAUGACUUUCUAGAAUAUUUAAUUGAGGUGCUUAUCAUAUUUAUUAUGUGGCUAAGUUAUGCUGAUCAGAUUAAUUAUCCUUGUCACUAUUCAUUACUUCAUAUAUCUUUUAUGUGACAUUUAUCCCUCUAUGAAAGAGUUAGAUAAAUGUUCUCAAUUAUAUAUGCAAUGAUAGAUACUCAAUCUCAUAUUCCAUUCUAUAAUCAACAUUGAUGAUUACUAAUCCCUUCCCAGUGGUAAAAAUAUAAAUAACGAUACCUGGAAUACUUCCCGGUUAAAAUGCUACAUCGGUAUUAAUCUGUGCGCUUGCAGAUCCCAUUCAUUAUUUAUUUAGAAGAGCAAUUGCAUAUUUCAAUAUCGCGUCUGUCAUGUCAUGCUGGGGAUGACAACUUGGCUUAAGUGGCAUGGGAGAUAGGUUUGGCAUUUUUGGCACCGUUAUCAGAAUUAGAAAACUAAGUCUACUUUUGGUAGUGAUGUUAAGAAUAUCCAACAAGCAUUUUGGCGCAGUUGCCGGGGAAGGUUGAUUACUAAUCAGGAAUGAAUAUAGGAUUUUGAGUUAUCAUUCGCAUCACUAAUAUGAUUGAGCUUAUCAAUUCUCUCAUACAGUUUUCCCACGAUAUUUUUCUAUUUUUAUCUUAUGCAGGGGAAUGUAUGAAUAGAAGACAUCUUCUAGGAAAUUUUGUUGACAAUCCCGAAGCAUUAUUCAGAAAAACAAGAGCCAAGCUCAAGAAGAGAUCAUCAACACUACAGUAAGAAGCUUCAUCCAAUCAAGAAGAUCACCGGAACUUGUCUUCAGCUCCCAUGGCGAACAAAUCAAUCCGCGAGUUCUCAGCUCCCAAUACGGACAACAUCCGCACUGGACCUGCUGCAGAGAUCGAUGGCAACUUUGAGAUCAAGCCUGGACUUAUCAACAUGGUGCAAUCCAACUAGUUCUAUGGGAAGGCACACGAAGAUGCUAGUGCUCAUCUCCAACACUUCCUGGAGAUUUACAGUACAUUCACCAUACCAGGAGUCCCCAGAGAUGCUAUACUACUUCGCCUCUUCCCAUUCUCACUGUUAGGGAGAGCGAAGCAGUGGUUCUACGCUACAAAGGAGAAGAAUACUACGUGGGCACUCUGCUCCACGAACUUCCUGGCUAAGUUCUUUCCCAUGGGCAAGACCAAUGCUCUCCGUGGGAAGAUUACAAGUUUUCAGCAACAACAUGACGAAUCCGUUCCAGAAGCAUGAGAGCGCUUCCAAGACUACAUCCUAGAAUGUCCCCAUCAUGGAAUGGAGAGUUGGCUACUAAUGCAGACGUUUUAUCAUGGGCUUGGCAACAGUGCCCGAGAGACCAUGGAUGCUGCAGUUGGAGGAGCAUUCUUAUCACUUACCAUAUCACAAGCCACAACUCUUGUCAAGAAGAUGGCGUCCAACCAAGGCUGGAAUGAAGAGAGGACCCAGACACGCAAGAGAGGUGGAGGUAUGCAUCAGCUCAAGGAGGUAGACAUGCUGUCUGCAAAGCUAGACCUGCUCAUGAAGAAGCUCAAUGAUAGAGCUGGAGACAAGAAAGAAGUUAUGCACAUCUACGACUCUCACAUGACUUAUGAGGAGUGUGGAGAUACUGGACACUUAGGCAAUCACUGCCCUGAGAUGCUUGAGGAUGUGAACUACAUCAACAACAAUAACAACAACAACUACUACAACCGUCCUCAACAAAAUCAAGGUUGGAAUCAAAAGAGGCCUAACUACUCAUGUAAUUAUCAAGGUAAUAAUUCUUACAACAAUAAUACCAAUAAUUUUCCACCUCUGAGAGAGUUAGUGACUAAUCAAGGAAAGCUAAUGGAUAAUCUAUCUAAGAAAUUGGCAUCUAAUGAUAAAAUGCUAGAAAAUAUAAAUAAUAGAAUGGAUAAUUUCUCUACUGCCAUCAAGAAUCAAAUUAGCUUUAAUAAAAUGAUUGAAUCUCAGUUAAAUCAAAUAGCUGCUGCUGUUCCUGCUACUAACCCCGGUAUACCAUCACAACCGGAAGGAUUAGAAUCUACAAAUCUUGUAGACAUAUUUGAUGCAGGUAAUUGGAGUAACCCCGUCAUUGAAUUCACUACUGACCUUCUGCCGGUCAAGAGAGGCGAUCCAGGACGCCCCGUCAUCCCGAUCUCCAUCGGCAUGGUGGACGUCCCAGAAGCACUCUGCGACUUUGGCUCUAGCGUCAACAUUAUACCCACGGUACUCUAUGAAAAAUUCUUUACAUAUCCUUUAUUAGAAACAACCAUGUGUUUGCAGUUUGCAGAUCAGACAAUAAGUUUUCCAAAAGGAAUAUUGAAGAACCUUUGUGUCCGAGUUGGUACCUUGUAUGCCCUAGCAGACUUCGUGGUGAUAGAGACCGGUAAUGAUGAGAGGGCACCCAUCAUCUUUGGGAGGCCAUUCUUGAACACCUCGGGUGCUGUCAUCUACGCUAGUGCUGCCAAGAUCAGUUUCUACAUCAAAGUGAGGAAGGAGACAUUUUCCUUCAAUAACGAGACUACACAAAUUCCAGAUAACUCCAGACGUGAAUCAAGGAAGAGGACCAACAGGAGGAACAGGAACAAGCAAGUGUGGACCGAGUCAGCUAAGAUGGUCACUGCAGUUCAUGGAGGUCAAGAUCAUCAACUUAAGUCACCAUUUUUGACUAAGAAGGACGACCUAGGAAUGCCAAGCAUCUAUUGCUCCAUAAAUGGAUACAACUUCUACAAGACGUUUUGCGACACCGGAUCGGGCGUCAACAUAAUGGCCACAGUCACCUAUCGGCUAUUGUUCGGAACCAUGCCCUUAAAACCAACAUACAUUCAGCUCCAGAUGGUAGAUCAGAUGUUUCGAGAGGUUAAAGGAACAGUAACUGAUGUCCCAGUCAAAAUAGACGAUCAUUUUGUCUACACAUACUUUCAAGUUAUUGACAUGGGAGAAGACGAGUACGAUCCACCCAUCAUCCUUGGAAGACCGUUCCUCAGCACCGUUAAAGCAAUCAUCUACAUUGGAACUGGAGAAGUCCAUAUGCACUUCCCCUCAGAGAAGGUACGCCGCUAUUUUACUGACCCUAACUAUAUCAUUGAAGAAUCUAAGCAGGUUAGAAAACUACGCAAUCGCAACCAGAGGAGGCAAAUCAUCAAGGACGGAUGGGCAGACUAUGAAGGAGAAGUGGUAAGGUCAGAAGACAUUCAGUUUAAACAGAAUUAUCCAGAGGAGACCGUAGCACCGAGUCAGGUAUGGAAAGAGAAGAUAACUAUACAUGAAGAGGAGGCGCCACCGGAAGUACCGACUCCGCCACCCAACGAAUCCCAGGACAACUAGAAAACGAAGAGUCCCGUUCGGAGGACUUAAAAACACCGAACGCCUUGCCAAGAGGUAAACUUGGUAGUUAUCCUUUCCCUUUCAAUUAUUUUAAAUAGUUUACCUAGUUAAUCAUGUUCAUACUAUCCUAAAAAGAAAAUAAAAAUGUUAAAAACAGUAAGCCCCAUGUGAGUAUACAAGUGGAAUGAAACCCAUAAGUACAUUUAUUGUGGUGGCAUAAAAAUAAAAUAAAUAUUUCUUUUCUGCUUUAUAAAAUGAAAAUAUAAAAAUAGGGAGUAAUAUUAAGGAGGCUCAACAUGAUAAAGGGUAGAUAUUUAUGCUAACACUUAAUCAGUUCCACAAAGCUUUGUUGUCUAUUUGAGCUCCACAGAAUUUAAGAAUCAAGAAGACUAGCAAACGGAGGACAUUCUAAUCGCUGUCAAGAUACUGCCGACUUUCAAAUACACCUCUGCCACCUGCUAGCUACGUCAAGAGAAAUUACGUCAAAAUUCAGCUUGGGGGAGAGCACCCCCAUUUAUCCCGAUAAGUAUUUCUAUCUAUCUAUCUUUAUACUUAUACUAUAUUAAAAUAUAGAUAUACAUUUGGAAAACCAAAUAAAGAUUUUAUGCUUAUAUAUAUAUCUUUUGCUUAGUGCGUUUAAUAAAUAAAUAAAGUCGCUAUGCCAAUCUGAAUCUUAAUAAUAAAACUCUAGCAUGGAUAUGAUGAAUAGUUGCUCUGCCUAAUUUUUUUAUAAAACAAUUGAAGUUCUCUCUCAAGUUUAGACAUAACUGUUAUAAUUUGAAGCUUGCUCUAGACCUAAACUUGUGGGAAGAAAACUUGAUCUGAAAUCUAAGUUGUUAACGGAUAUGAUAUGGGAAUGUUGAGCUGUUGUUUAUCUGUUCCUAGAGAUGCUAGAAUUCUAGAGAAUUUUAUCUUUGAAAAUCUUUAAAAAUGUUGCAUGAUGAGUUCCUCUAUGAUGACAGUUUAAAUUCCUACCACAACCAUACAUACAUGCUUACUAGACUUUGAGCCACACAUUUACUUUUUACUACUUAUGAACAUUGAGUGUGGUCAAGCUGUGUAGACCCUUAGGGGCUUGUCAUGUGGUUAAAUCAAGAUUCACUUGCACGUUCACUCACACAUGCUACUUCUACUCUGGAAGUACCAUCCACAUAUAUUCACCCAUUUCCGUCUCCAGAACCACCCAAAAAUAUUCUACUCCUAAUUCGGGAGAGAAUAGCCAAAAAUAUUUCUAUUUUUCCCUGUGAAAUAACUGCUCAAGUUAUCUUGUUACUACCACUUGUUAUAUUAUCUCAUGACAAGAGUGCUCUAAAAAAAGAAGAUACGAGGAAAUAAAAAGGGGCAAGUGCCCGGAACCUCGAAAGAAAAGAAAAAGUGAGACGAGAGGUAAAAAUGGACAAGUGUCCGACAGUAGAAUUAGAGAUACAAGAUACCCACCUGAGAGGAAAGAAAAAGAAAAUAUAGAGCAUCUCAUUCUCCUCAAAAAGUUUCAAAAGAAGCAAGAAAGGUAUGUAUCCCAUCAAAAGAGCACAAGUAGAAUUAGACUUUCACCAUUGUUAUCACCAUUAUCACCAUACACCAUUCAUUCGCCACACAUGCACAUCUUGAUUUGACUUAUUGAUUUGUUUCUUUGGAUCCAUGGUUUGACUAUACAAUAAAUGUCUUGUGAGUAUGUAUACUUUAUCUCCCACCUAUGAGCUCCAGAUAUUAAAGCCUUAUUAGAGUAGGGUGAGAGAGAAGGCAAUGUCACUAUGCAUUAUACCACAAAUACCACAUAUUUUGAGAGAAGGCAUAUACCAUCACUGCCUUGGUAAGGAUCCAGAAAUACCACAAAAGAGAGAUAUGAGAGAGUCAUACAAGGAAUCUCUGAGUUUUAUUUGAAAAUCUGCAAAAACUCC
rnacentral:lncRNA from 1 species